rnacentral:rRNA from 1 species
AUACGUAGGGGGCAAGCGUUAUCCGGAUUUACUGGGUGUAAAGGGAGCGUAGACGGCACUGCAAGUCUGGAGUGAAAGCCCGGGGCUCAGCCCCGGGACUGCUUUGGAAACUGUGGAACUAGAGUGCAGGAGAGGUAAGUGGAAUUCCUAGUGUAGCGGUGAAAUGCGUAGAUAUUAGGAGGAACACCAGUGGCGAAGGCGGCUUACUGGUCCAUUACUGACGCUGAGGUGCGAAAGCGUGGGGAGC